UGUGUUAUUGCUUGCUGCAACUGUUUUAUGAUUACCACAAUAAAUGGAGCUUUAAAGCUAAAAGCUAACCACUUUUAAUGUAAUCAGCACCGCAAAUCUCUCUCUGAGGAACUCCUUUUUCCUUGAAAAAAUGAAGCUUUUUUCAGUUAUGAAAUACCCACCAUUCAUGGCUACUCCAACGGCUCUGUGUUCCUCAAGAAUGGCUUCUUCUUGUUCAAUUCUCAAUUGGGAAGCUGCGGUUUCAAUGGUUCAAGGAGCUUCCAGAGGAAUUGGACUUGAAUUUGUUAAACAACUUUUGGAAAAGGAUGAGAAAGGGCAUGUCGUUGCAACUUGUCGAAAUCCUGAUAAAGCAACGGGACUCUUCGAUUUGAAAAACAAGUUUGCUGACCGUCUCAACAUUCUACAGCUGGACUUAACUGUUGAAAAAUCUAUAGAGGCAUCUGCAACGUCCAUAAGGGAGAAAUAUGGUUCUUUGAACCUUCUCAUUAAUGCCUCAGGCAUCCUUUCAAUACCCAAUGUCUUGCAACCAGAAACUACCUUGACUAAAGUAGAAAAGUCGUCGUUAAUGCUCGCUUAUGAGGUCAAUGCUGUGGGUCCAAUUCUAGUAAUGAAGCACAUGUGGCCUCUUUUGAGGGCUGGAGGGGGCUCAGGCACUCAAAGAGAUGUUGCAGUUGUUGCCAAUUUAAGUGCAAGGGUCGGAUCAAUUGGUGAUAAUCGCUUAGGAGGCUGGCACUCUUAUCGAGCUUCAAAGGCUGCCUUAAAUCAGUUGACGAAAACCAUGUCUGUCGAGCUUGCAAGAAAGAAGGAUCCAGUAGUAUGCAUCCUUUUGCAUCCAGGAACGGUAGACACCGACCUGUCCAAGCCGUUUCAGAGAAAUGUUCCUCAAGACAAACUCUUCAGCAAAGAAUUCUCAGUGCAGAAGCUGUUGCACAUUAUCAACAAUGCAAAAAGCCAUGAUAAUGGAAAAUUCUUUGCCUGGGAUGGCCAGGAAAUUCCUUGGUAACUGAUACUGCUUUAAUCACCAACCAAAUCACAUCAGGUCCUAUAGUAGAUUAUGGCUCAUCGUGGAAUUAUCAUAACGCUGCUGUCUGUUUCUCUAGUUCUUGAUAGUGCUCGGGGAUUUUAAAACAUAGUCAAGUUCUAAGCCUCUAACUCAAUUCAAGCUUGAAUUUCUUUUGAUAGCAUCUCUCGGAAGUUGGAACUACCUUUUUCAAGUAACGAAAUGCAUGGUGUUUCCUUCUCCGUUGGAGGUAUCAUUAUCUCUCGUCAGCUUCUUUGUUGGUUCUUGUGAAUGGUAGUCCUUUGUCUACUUCAGAAACCCGCAAAUUGUAAUGUAAUCCAGAGGUUCACUACGAAUGGUACUCGAACCAAUUUUUACUUUUCAAUUUGCAGAUUAGAGUAUCGGACCAUUUCAGAUAAUUUGAAGCUGACAUGGCAACCAGAUCGGAACCAUGAUCUUUAAGUUGUUUCAUUUCAACGGUUGUCACAUCAGUUUCAAACCAAGGUACUAAUUUAAAGCAAGAUAUAAAGAUUUGGAUCAUUGUUAUCUAGAAAUUUAAAUCAAAGGUAGCUGUGCAGAUAUGUUUUUUGCCCUUUUCCUCCGAAAGAUGGUUCUUAUUAAAUUUAGGGAAAUUUUUACCUACUCCCGGUCCAUGAAUUUUCCAUGCACCUACCCAAUAAAGUGUUAGAAAAUCUAAUACAAUACUCUAUCUCUUCUUAUUAUUUUCUUUUUGUUCUCAUUUCUCUAACACCUUAUUGGAUAGGUCCAUAAAUUUUUCAUGGACCGGGUCUAGGUAAGAACUUCCCUUAAAUUUAUUUUUCAAUGUGUCCCUAUUUAUAGUAUGUCUUUAUUUCACAUGCCAACUACUGUUGUAAGUUUUGUUUUUUAAAGAGUUAUUUCAAAAGGUAAAAGUGCCACAUUAGAAGUUUAAAAGACUACCCCUCUUCGGAGUUGGAUUUGGGUGUGGGUGGAUGUUGCAAAUCCGAGGCUUGAUUAAAUUUUUUGUUAUCCGAAAUUAAUUAUUUUUUAUUUUCAUUAUUUAAGCCUUAUAUGAGAAGGCUAUAUUUUGACUAAGUAAAAAACAGUUUUGGUUAAUGUUUAAAAAAUCGGAACAAACUUGGACUGAGCAAUUAAACACGUUUAAUUAA